rnacentral:lncRNA from 1 species
CAUUUUCCGAGCCUCCUGAAUGGCUUUCAUUACUGUGUCCUGGUCCCCAAACAGGGCAGGUGAAUUAAGACUGGAAAGAAUAUCUAAAGAGGAUCCUCUUCCCAGAGAUCCACCAAGGGGGCUGGGGAUACCGCUCUUGUUUGUCACUGUCACUGGACUGCUUUUGCUAGGUGGGAAGAGGUUCUGUGUUGGAGAUGUUGGGGAUUUGACUGGUUCAGCUGUCU